GUCACCGGCCCCGUGGCGGCGACCGAGCCUCACCUCAGCGCCAGGGCGGGCGGCGCGCGCAACCGCUCGGGGUGCCGGAAGCGGCGGAAGGUUCCUGUUUUAGGACUCCUGUAGCACAGCAGCAGUGAAGAUCAGAAUCUCAUUACGGAGACAGGGGAAGGAACGAAGCUCCUGUCAGCUUUAAAUAAACUGUCCUUAUUUCCUGCAAGUCCUGCACAUCGUGCGAUGCCCAGCCACACCUUGGGUGACCAAUUGUUUGUGAAAAGGCAGAAGGCUUAUCUGACCGCGGAGGCUCACGGAGGCUUA